UACGUAGGGGGCAAGCGUUGUCCGGAUUUAUUGGGCGUAAAGAGCGUGUAGGCGGCUUUACAGGUCCGUUGUGAAAACUGGAGGCUUAACCUCCAGCUGUCGAUGGAAACCAUCUGGCUAGAGUCCGGAAGAGGAGAGUGGAAUUCCUGGUGUAGCGGUGAAAUGCGCAGAUAUCAGGAAGAACACCCGUGGCGAAGGCGGCUCUCUGGGCCGGUACUGACGCUGAGACGCGAAAGCGUGGGGAGCGAACAGG
rnacentral:rRNA from 1 species